rnacentral:rRNA from 1 species
UACGUAGGGUGCGAGCGUUAAUCGGAAUUACUGGGCGUAAAGCGUGCGCAGGCGGUUUUGUAAGACAGAGGUGAAAUCCCCGGGCUUAACCUGGGAACUGCCUUUGUGACUGCAAGGCUUGAGUGCGGCAGAGGGGGAUGGAAUUCCGCGUGUAGCAGUGAAAUGCGUAGAUAUGCGGAGGAACACCGAUGGCGAAGGCGACUUUCUGGCCUGUUCUUGACGCUGAGGCGCGAAAGCUAGGGGAGCAAACGGG